rnacentral:other from 1 species
UUAACCCUCGGGUAUUCGCUGAUCUUGACAAAGUCUCUGAGCCGAUAAGUAAUACCCUGGUAACUUGGAUUGGAUGCUCUUGUGCAUGCUCGGCUAGUAUCGAGAAGCCUGCGGCAAACACUGGGAUACCACACUUGACCUUCGGGUUCAAGGUCCACGUCAAUAACGAUGCCCUUGGGUUACU